AGGAAACAAAACCCAGAUGAGUGAAGAUGCUGAUCCUGAAGAUGUUGUUCAAUACGCUUCCAUCAGUUACACCAAGAAACCUAACAGGAAACCUGAGCAGGUUCUGGGUAAAAGUGAUGAUGAUGAUGAUGAUAAAGUGGCCUACAGCUCUGUGAAAGCUCCUUCCUCCUCUGAUCCCAACAACCUCUAUGCUUCUGUCAACAAAUCAAAGAAAUAAGAGGCUCGUAUCUAUUUUCCUUUUGUGUGACAUUUAGGAGAUGAUAGUUUUUGUCCAGUAGAGGGAGCUGUAGGUUUUAUAUUAAUAGUGUUUAAAGAGGAAUAUUUAGUUGUAUUUGAAGAUGAUAUAGUAAAAAUAUUUAGAUUUUUGUCAGUCAUAUCUGACUGCAGGUCUGAUUUUAUAAUAAAAACUUUUGGAGCAGAUAAUGAUUCGUCGGUCUGGUAGAUUUUGCUUUUAUUGUGAAAGGCUGGGUUGAAAUUCCAUCAGGGUUUUUUUUUAUUUGUGAUUUUGAAAUGUUAAUAUUCAGUUUUAACCUCAGCUUUUUUUUUCAACCCAACAUGAGCUCCUUCUAAUAUCAAUAAAAUGAGUUAAACAGAGUUUUAUUCCCAGCUUUUAUAAACUUGUGAAUAUUUUCUGUUUUCAUAGCCUGAUCUCAAAGUUUGUCAAAUAUUUUGUUUGAUUCUAAGUCAGAAAAAACAGCAGUUUAAUGAAACUUUAAUAAAAAAAACAUUCUAUUUAGUUUUGUCUCAUCUUCACAGCUGA